UACGUAGGGGGCGAGCGUUGUCCGGAUUUAUUGGGCGUAAAGCGCGUGUAGGCGGCUUGGUAGGUCUCGCGUCAAAACCUGAGGCUCAACCUCAGUUCGCGUGGGAAACCACCUAGCUAGAGUCCGGAAGAGGAGAACGGAAUUCCCAGUGUAGCGGUGAAAUGCGCAGAUAUUGGGAAGAACACCAGUGGCGAAGGCGGUUCUCUGGGACGGUACUGACGCUGAGACGCGAAAGCGUGGGGAGCGAACAGG
rnacentral:rRNA from 1 species